rnacentral:tRNA from 1 species
GCAGGGGUAGCCGAGCUUGGUCAAAGGCGCUGGGUUUAGGUCCCAGUCCGUAAUGGUUCGCAGGUUCAAAUCCUGCCCCCUGCACCA